ensembl:antisense Gm15934 predicted gene 15934
UCCCGCGCCCGCUCAAGCAGGGCGCAGUCGAUCAGAGCCGCUCCCAGCGGCGGGGACGGGCUCGGGCGCGCGCUCCGAGGCAGGCGGGCAGCCAGCGGGUGCCAGCAGGGUGCGGAACUCGCGAGGCUCUAAGUUGGUAAAGACCAACUUGGUAACCAGUCUUCGGCCCAGACCCUGGGCUACCCUUGGUGGAGAGUGAUGGAGCCUCAGAACGACCACGAAACCAAGACUAGAGAUGAGAAGAACAAAGGCCAAGCAUCCCAGUUUCUGCACCAUGGAUGGCUGGAAACACGGCUGGAAACCAUUUGACUUUCCGGCCUUUGUUCCCACUCACCACUUUGGAAUUUGCUCCAGUGUUCAAAUUUAUCUGGAGAAAAGAAAGAAGGCUAGAGAAGUAAGAAAGCCAUGAAAUUUUAUGUCAGAUGCAUUCUGGAUUUGUGCUCGAUUGUAUGAGCAUCCUGUGUUUGAAAUUGCUGGGAUUAUAUUCAUAAUUUUAAAUUUGAAAGCUUAGCAGCAAUAAAGUUAUGCUGUGUGACAGA